AUUGUUUGAGGUGGUAAAUUCCGCUGCAACCACGCGCCCUUUGGGCUAAAAGAGAUGUAGGAGACGGCAGCGCCUACCAAACAAU
rnacentral:ncRNA from 12 species